rnacentral:lncRNA from 1 species
GAUGCAGAUGCAAUCAUGGGAGAUUUGUAAGGCAAAAGCAAGGAUGGUAAUCUUCUAUCACCUCUCAGUUGGCAGGCCUGGUCUCAAGAAGACCUGAAAUUUUCUUCUGAAGCAGUGAAAAUUCAUGCCAUGCACCAGAUUCCUGGGUGAGGGGAGCAUUUGAAGCAGAGGCAUUACUGGUCUCCAGGGCCAAGCCACCAGGCCAGUGGUUUCCAGUCACCAGCCUGAUGAAGUAGCAAUGAUGGUAAUAAAGAGCACACAGUUCCAGCUCUGUGAUUUUCAAAUCUUGGUUACAUCAUGUACUCUGGAAGUUCAGGUUUUCUAGGAUAAUCUCAGGGGUUGGAGCUCCCCUGGUGAUUCAGCUCUCUUGUGUCUGGGAGCCAUUCCAAGAAGCCCAGACUAGAGUCCACUUUUCCAGGCUUUCCAAUGCACCCAAUUUACCGAAUUAAAUCUUUGCUUAUUUACAGUAUUUCUGUCUCCCGCUAUGAACC